UGAAAUUGUAAAAGGGAAACAAUGUUAAUCGAAUUCCUUUGGAAUGUGUUUUAUUAUGAGUCUAACCAUUACUAUAAAAAAAUAAAGGCAAAAUUCCAAAAUCAUUCAAUGAUUUUGAAAAAGUUAAAGAAAAAAGUAUAGAUAUCGCUAACACGGGCCCUCUAUUAAGGUGGCAUCAAAUUGAUUUCAGUGUCUCGCCCCUCCAUGGCACGAGUUUGCCACGACUGCCCUAUUGAAACCGUGAAGGCUGCGGUGUAACUGCGUUAUGUUUUACUAGCGUGCCUUUAUUUUGAAGGCUAGACUUUACCGGAUACAGAAAGUAUAGAGCCGAGUGUGGCCGAGGAGACCCGAAAGCCGGGGUGGUUUCUGAAGCUGUAGAUUAGGCUUGCAUGUGGAAUACACCUUGCGGUCUGUUUGAAUCCACAUUUGCAAGAUACGACAAAGGCAAAUGUGAGUCUACGUCUUUUACAAGUUAUUUACACCAAAAUACGUAAUAUUAGAUUUCUAAAAUCAUCUAAAUCCAAGUAAAAUGCUCAUUCUUCCAAUAUUUUACCUGCUUGCGGGGCAGCGGAUGUUACGUACGUGACGUGAGGCACUUCCGGUCAGGUUGGCGGAGGAGAGGCGUUGUUUCCAGCCUAGCAUCCUAACCACUGGAGCCUACCCGCCACAAUGGGCGAUGUGUCGCUGCAUUUGACUAACGUGUCCGUGGAGCAGUGUUCUCCAAAUCCAACACCAAGCAGGGACUUUGAGAGCAUGAAGCUGGGUGAUAAACAGAGAGAGAAGACCCCUCGAAGGAUCAUCCAUUUCUCCAGCGGGGAGACCAUGGAGGAGUACAGCACUGAUGAAGAGGAGGAGGAAGGCAAGGAGCCAGAAAGAAAAGACCUGCUUUCCUCCCCAGUUGACGCUGUGAGGUCGAAGAUGACUUGGGCUCCUUAUUUCUGGUUCUACAUGUGGAGAGCUGCAACAUCAACUAUCUCAGCCUGUGACUACCUCGGGGAGAGGAUGGCCUCCUUUUUCGGGAUAACAUCAGCCAAGUAUCAGUACGCCAUCGAUGAAUACUACAGGAUAAAGAAACAGAGGGAGGAGGAGAACGAGGAAACCCGCCUGUCAGAAGAGGCGGAACAUACCUUUGACCAGUCACAUGCUCAGGAAGGAGACGAGCCAAUCACCGGGACGGAACAUGCCGUCGCUCCUCCUGAUGUGACCUACCAGAUCCAAAAUGAGCAUCAGGUAUCUUCUGUCACCAUGGUCGUCCCUGCUAUCGUCACGGCAACUUAACCAUUCUUAGACAUGCACGGGAAAUGUCUGGAUGGUUGUUUGAAAGGAACACUUGUGCAAUUUAAGCAAGCACCGAAUGAACACAACACAGACAUGGCAGUGACAUUGUCACAGAAGUAAGACUUCACCGACGGUCCAGACGUACAAAAUCGAGCAGCCUCCAAAAGUUGCAAGUCAAAUUUUGCUCCUGUGUGCCUUUACUAGACCGUGCCUGGAUCACCACUUCAGCCAAGGCAGCACAUGCACAUAAGACACAUUAGAGGUUGAAACUGCACUUCAUUCAGCCAUGGUAUCAAGAGCAUUGACUUUGCAGCGUCGGGCACACACAUUCACCUCUUUGAUUACGCAUUAUGUACGUUUAUGUUGCACUACGUCUGUGUGGAAGCGCUGCAAUUUUACACAAUUAUUGUCAGAUCAUGUGGCUUACUGGAAAACAAUUUUCUGUGUGACUAGACCACUCGCCACAACUCCACUCAUUUAUGUGCUCAUUAGGUACGCUUGCAAAAAUGCAAGACUUUUGCCUUUAUCAGUACAGCACUGCUCAGUUUAAAUGAAUUUGGAGUAGGUGUGGUCGUAACAAUGUUUAUUAUUCUCUUGCUAAUUUGCACAUGUGCAUCAUAUAGAGAGCUGUUUGUAAUGUUUGGCUCCCAGUACCUCCAUAUCACAAUAAUAUACCGUUCAUGCACUCUAACAGGCUUAGUCCAAAUUCAGCAUUAUUAACUUGAACUUCACUUGGAUUUUGCCGGUGUACCUGGUGUUGUGGCCAUUAAGUGUAUGUCACUGCAUCCUGUGUGUUGAUUUGUAUUUGACUACAGCAACUAGGGGUGUAACGGUACACAUAGUCACAUUUUUUGGUACGGAGCGUUCUGUUCGCUACAUUGAUUCCCCACACGGUACUACACAUUUGAGAUGAAGGAUUGGAAAUGUGCACACGUCCACAAUCUCAGGUAGUAUCCCAAAACGGAGAAAAAUGUGGGAUAUUUGGCACAGAAGUGGCGAUCUAGGUGGAUAAAAACAGUGCGGCCCAGCCUUUGGCCAGCGGGAGUCAUGGCUAGCAAUAGUGCCAAGGAAAAUCAUACAUUAAACACUUUGCCUCCCAGUGAAAUACAUAAAAUAACAAAUACAAGUAGCUAAGACCAAAAGCAGUGUGUUAGUGUUUCGGUUCGGACUUCCGUGUUAUCUGGCUCCUGAGUCCAAUCAAAUUGUUUCCGUCCACAGGUUCAUUUCCUCAUGCCGCUCCGGCUAAAUGCUCCAACUGUGUAAGUGCCCAAGUAUUCAGUAAAAAAACAUCAAUAUGCUGCCAAGAUUGCAAAGCCUGGUCUGUUGCAAGACAAGGAAAAGUGUCUUAUAAAAGAGGGAGAAAAAAAGUCUGCAAUCAAACCCGUGACGCAAAAUAAUAAACUUCCACCCACAAUGCUUUUGUGUUUACGGCUAGAUUACAAGGCCACACACGCUCACUUGUUUACAACAGAUAUUUCUAGAAAUAAUCAAGUGUUCUCUAGUAGGAAAUAUGGAGCACCCAUGUCAAGUGGGUACCGGGAAGUAAGUUAACAUGAUCGUGAUCACGUUGUUCUCAACAAAUUCAUGUUCAUGCGUGACAUCCCAAUGGAGUAUCAGUGCAUUGAAAUGAUGGACAUAUACAAAUAUGUAUUGGUGUAAACACCGAUAGACAUGUUGGAAGUGUUAUAUUUGUUAUGUCUGACACGGAAGAUAAGCUUUGAUCGCCGUGUUUGAACUAUGUCAUGUCUUUGUGCAACACACCAUGCACACUCCCUUUUUGAAGCAAAUCAUUUCAACGGCAUGCGCCGUUAGUCGCAUUAAUCUGCCAACCAACUUAGUGUAACGCACUUUUGACGUUAAUUAAUUGCAUUUUAAUCAUAUGCAUUCAAUGUCUCUGACAGAGAUUAAAUAAAACGUCUAAAGCCGGGCACGCGGUGUCAUCCAAAAUGCACUCCAUUGCAUAGAACACAAUGUUUUGCCAUGAAACCUGAGUCAAUUCAUAGAUUACAAAGAUCUGAAAUUAUGUAAAUAAUGUACAGUUUAAUAAACACACCAAAAAGCCUCAUCUUUUUCUAAUGAUUGACAUUUCAAAAAAGACGUUUCACCUGUGGCCAUGAUUAACUUCUUGGCUAUAUGCAGGCGGAGGGCUGUAAUUCCCUGCUCGUCGACAUCAAACUAUUUGUGUUUUUUUGGACAAUGUAAGCUGUACAGUACCAAAAAGGUUUUCACACACUACCCCAACCAGUACAUCAUCAUGGAAUGAAUUGAGCUAAAACAUUGAACUCUUGCUGUUAAUCUGUAUGACAGCGUUAGAUCUGAAUAAAUAGCAUAAUAAGUCAUUUCAUCAGUGGGAGCCACUCUUCCCUUAUUUCUCCUUUACGGUCGCUGCAAUGGAAGCAUUCAGCAUCGAAAAGAGGACUGCUAAAAAUGCAUACAGUAAAUCAACAUGUAUAUAUUUCUGAUUGGGGCUAUUUUGUUUGACAUACUUCACUCUCAAGGAGCUUGCCUGAUGGCGAUUGUGAUUAUGGAGGUCCUGUGUAAAUAUUUUAUAUGGGCCUAUUUUGUCCCAUACGAUUUCCGCUUCCCGUACGGCAAGUACCACUGGAAGGCGGAGAAACAUGUAGAUUAGAAGUUUUUAACAACGGAGUGUGUCACGCUGAGGUCAGCACACGAACGAAACAAAACUACGAUGCAAAAAAGAUAUCAUGAGACUAGUAACAAAGCAACAGGUGCGAAAAAGGCGGGAGACCGAGGCGGACCAGCAGGCUCCUUACCCACAAACCAGGUAAGAAUAAUACACAUUCAUUAGAAACAUGCAAAACAAAAUAAUCCAGCGCCUUCCUGCUGCAUCUGAGGUGAUUAAUAGUGACAAGCUGGUGUCAAACACGUACCACACGUCCAGUAGCUCCGCCCAGCCCAGGGAGCGUCAAAACAUACCCAAGAAGAACAAAACAUACCCAAUUAAAAUGAAUCAGAUAGUGAAUAGAAACUUAAAAAACAAAACACUACAAACAAAAAGAUGAAAACAACCUCUCGUCUCCGCAGAACGUGACACAAUGUCUACACCCAGAAUGAAACUCGCAGCUCUGCACGGAGUCUGAGGUCUGCACGUCUGCACGUUAACACCAUGACCUCAGGAGAGGGCUAUGCUGACCGGAGUCCUGAUGAUGUGUUGGUGCCCUCGUGUAAAUCAGCCCUAACAGCAUUGCCAAAAAUGGUUUGGGGGGGGGGGGAUGACCGAACCGUGACCUUAAAACCAAGGUACGUACCAAAGCAUGAUUAUUUGGUACCGUUACACCCAGCUAUUUAUGUAUUUAUAACACUUGAUUUAGACAUUUUAUAUUAUUUUGAUGACACUGAAAUAAAUAGUUAAUACCAAAACCACAUCAAUCCUUGCACUGUUCUGCUCUGCUGGCUUGCGAAAUGACACAGAGGGCUGUCACACGUUCAGCAAUGUGUGUAUCACUGGACACAAAAGAGCCCUUGUCACUCUGUUCAGAGACCCCCGCUGUACUCGCUAGUACCUAGUGUAAGUAUUCUGAGGUCAGCAACCUCCACAAUAGUUGCAUUGUCAGUGCAACUGUUGUACACAACAGCCACGUUGCUUUUAUCCGAAUGUCCGCUUUUAGUAAGAUUAUAAUGCUCAGUUUUGAUACACCAGAGAGAAUUCUGAUCCAACUCCUGUGUUGGACGGGUGUAAUUCGACUGUGCCGGUACACCCGACGUGGUGUCCUGGGAGUGUAUUUCAAAUGCUAUGCAAUAAGCAGUUUCCUUCUGCAUCAUUGUGGCGGUGCCAUGAUGCGACAGCUCAGCAGCACAGUAGUCUUGAGAGUAAAAUCGAGCCGUAAAUGAAGCAGCCCGGACACAUUUGGCAAAGCUUCUCCAACACUGACAGACGGUACACCACCCACUGGCGGCCUGCUCACACACAGUCAUGCAACACUGCUUUAUUAGUCAUCACGCUGCUGCUGGAACUUUCAUGUUGUCAACAGGAUAGAAGGUCUGGAAAGGUAAAAGUGGCACCUGUGGAGUUAAUACGGGUACAAAAUGGCUCAGCGGAGCCCUGAAAACACUCAUUUAUUUGUUUCUCAUUCAGCUCUACAGUAUAUGCAUGCUGAGAGCCUCGGAUGGGAUUGUUUUUUCUGUUGGAAAACACUCUCCAUAAAUCCAUAAUACAGCAAUUCUUAUUCAUAACGUGUUUACAUUUGUAUUGAUUCUGCACUGCCAUCGGUUUUGCGUAACACCUUUUUGUUCGUUUGCCAACCAAAUCACUAAGUCUGAUCGAUUCGUGUCAAGUUUUUAUGUAAAUAAAAGAAAAAAGUUGUAGUCCAACAUGACCCUGAUUAGGCAGGCGAUUGAUGGGGAAUUUACCUGCAGUUCCUUGUAAAGCCGCUUGGGGCCACAAUUGUCUUCAACACACGAACAUGAGGUUGCAGUAGUAUUAAGAUGGAUCAUUCUGAAGCUGAUUUACUUUUGAAAAUAGUCUAAUUUUAAAAAUGUAAGAACAAAACUUAAUAAAAUAAAAAAAAUGUAUUAAUAUUUACACCAAUCCUUAUUGUCCAAAUGUUAAUAAGACUUCAAACAGCAAAACCCGUGUUGAAACUUCACAACUUCCACAACUUCCAACUUUCCAUGUGUGCAAAAGUGCAACAGAGAGAAAACUUGUCUCCAUUUCAGCAGCUUCCUUCUGAGAGACGUGAUGCAUGCGGCAGUCAUCAAUCUGUGAUUCAGCGGGAAAAUCCAGAGGCGAGAAGGAAGCAUUGUUAUACAACCUGACCUCACUAGUGAAGCCUUGCAUCGUCACCCGCACGUCUGCUUGUAAAGUCCCAAAGUGCUUCAAUAUUCCCAUUCCGAUCCCUCCCAGCCUGCGCGUACGCAUGGCGGCCUGCAGUUGCAUGCUGCUUUGGGGCAUACCUGACAUUUUUGCAGGCUGUAGUAGUGGUGGUGGUGGUGGUGGGCGUAGGAUAGGAACUGGUUAGUCUUCUAGAGAGACCAGUUUGGUACACUUGAAUGUCAUGUUUGAUGACACAUCUACUCAAUUAACUACUGUAUGUACAAUACGCCUUGUUUUACAGCUACAUAGCAGCACCUUUUGUGCUGUUGGAAGUUCCCCGGAAGGAGCACCUCCAAAGCUUUUCGGUGGGAGCAAAAAGUACUUUGUCUGGACUCGACUAGACAGUUUAGUCUACGCUAAGGGACCGUUUUUCAACUGAGGAUGCUU